CCUACGGGAGGCAGCAGUGAGGAAUAUUGGUCAAUGGACGAGAGUCUGAACCAGCCACGUAGCGUGAAGGAUGACUGCCUUAUGGGUUGUAACCUUCUUUUAUAAAGGAAUAAAAAGAGGCUCGUGUGCCUUUUUGCAUGUACUUUAUGAAUAAGGAUCGGCUAACUCCGUGCCAGCAGCCGCGGUAAUACGGAGGAUCCGAGCGUUAUCCGGAUUUAUUGGGUGUAAAGGGAGCGUAGAUGGGUUGUUAAGUCAGUGGUGAAAGUUUGGGGCUCAACCGUAAUAUUGCAAUUGAUACUGGCAGGCUUGAGUACAGUAGAGGUAGGCGGAAUUCGUGGUGUAGCGGUGAAAUGCGUAGAUAUCACGAAGAACCCCGAUGGCGAAGGCAGCUUACUAAACUGUGACUGACAUUGAGGCUCGAAAGUGUGGGUAGCAAACAGGAUUAGAUACCCUAGUAGUC
rnacentral:rRNA from 1 species